rnacentral:rRNA from 1 species
UACGUAGGGUCCGAGCGUUUGUCCGGAGUUACUGGGCGUAAAGCGCGCGCAGGCGGCUCGUCAAGUCUGGCGUGAAAGCCCCCGGCUCAACCGGGGAGGGUCGUCGGAGACUGGCGAGCUUGAGGGCGGUAGGGGCUGGUGGAAUUCCCGGUGUAGUGGUGAAAUGCGUAGAGAUCGGGAGGAACACCCGUGGCGAAGGCGGCCAGCUGGGCCGUCCCUGACGCUGAGGCGCGAAAGCUAGGGUAGCAAACGGG